UACGAAGGGGGCUAGCGUUGUUCGGAAUUACUGGGCGUAAAGGGCGCGUAGGCGGUACUUCAAGUCAGGCGUGAAAGCCCCGGGCUCAACCUGGGAACCGCGCUUGAGACUGGAGAACUAGAGUUCGGGAGAGGAUGGUGGAAUUCCAGGUGUAGCGGUGAAAUGCGUAGAUAUCUGGAGGAACACCGGUGGCGAAGGCGGCAUCCUGGACCGGUAUUGACGCUGAGGCGCGAAAGCCAGGGGAGCAAACGGG
rnacentral:rRNA from 1 species